rnacentral:rRNA from 1 species
UACAGAGGGUGCGAGCGUUGUCCGGAAUCACUGGGCGUAAAGGGCGCGUAGGCGGCCUGAUAAGUCGGGGGUGAAAUCCCGUGGCUCAACUGCAGGGCUGCCUCCUAGACUGUCGGGCUUGAGCACGGUAGAGGCAGAUGGAAUUCCCGGUGUAGCGGUGGAAUGCGUAGAGAUCGGGAAGAACAUCGGUGGCGAAGGCGGUCUGCUGGGCCGAUGCUGACGCUGAGGCGCGACAGCGUGGGGAGCAAACAGG